CUUUAAAUCACAUGAGAUCAGUCAGAGGAAUGUAAGCAAAAGUAUUGUGCAGAGCUGAGCAGGAGAGAGGUAUGAAGUUUCUUAAAAGCUGAAAUGACACCCCUACCCCAGGUUGUCUUCGGUAUAUUUAAAUACAGGUCCAGUGUAAAUAACAAACUGAACAACACAGAACACUUCCUUGCUGAUGGUUUCUGCUGAUGGUUUCCUUGCCUUGGAUACCUGCUGCUUUUCACAGCUCUAGCUGGGUACGAACAGCUUCUCCGCAGCAUGUGCACAGACUCCACUAUCUCUGUGUGGGACUCCAGGCAAAAUCAGCAGCCUGGGUAGGACCAACUACUGGUCCAUUUGGGAUGCUCACUUAAGAAAGCAGUGUUCAGUUCCGUCUUCUUCCUAAUCAAAAGCAGGGAUGUGGCCAAAGCUCUUCUACAUGAAAGAUGAAUACUGCAUCUGUGAAGUUGUACAGCAGUCUGUGACAUGUCUGUAGAAGUGUUUUCAACCUGUCUGUAACACCUGUUCUGCAUUCAUUAGUGCUGAGUUAUGCAUUAUUCAUGAAAAUAGUUCAUUUUGCCCCCUUCAUAUGUGGCACAUGUAUGUUUUAGUUGAACUCAUGUGAUACUUGUAUGCUCUUGCCCCACUACCUGCUGUCUCACUGCAUUUUGCUUGGCCUUGGCUCAGCACGACAGUAGGAAUCCAGCCCUGCUGAAUUAGUUCUGAGCUCCUUGGGGAGGGCUGGUUCUCCUCUUUUCAAAGUAAAGAACACUACAUCUAGGAUGCUAUCUAGCAGUGGGAUACCAGCAUAUUUCACGGCUGCUUCCAUGCCUUUUGCAAGCAGUGGUGAAAAGUAGGAUGUUCUUGGUCAUGGCAGACAUCCUACAAGUGUCAAUGUGGAGGCAUGCAGGUUCCCACUGCAUGCUGCUCUGUAACCUAGGCUCCAAGAAGAUUUAGAAUUUACAGUUGCACAUAUUGCUUGCCAUAAGGAGUUGCAGACAUCCAUUUUACCUGGUAGCAGGACAGGUACGGACUAUUUCUGGGCUGUUAAGGACCCAUGGUGGCAAUAGAAGAGCAUGUUGUAAAUGAAAGAUGAUCAGCUAUGGAAAGAAGAAAGACAGCAUUUGUGAAAAUCUGAGCUGGUAGGGAAGGCAAUUUGAAGUGGGAAUGAUGAAAAGCAGAAAGACUGCUCACAAGGUGGUAUGUGCCAUUUGGAAGAAUUCUGUGCUGUGCUACCUGUAGAAUUGUCUAAGCGUGGAUACCAUAGAAGAUUGAGUUAUGCCCAGCUGCCAAAACAGACAUGGAGAAUGUUUCUGUGGGUCACGGAAAAGUCUGAGCUUGAAGCAUACUGUUCCUUGGAUGGCUGAGCUGCUGCAGAGCCUUCACUGUGACAGAUCAGGAAAACACAAACAAAUCGAGGCCAUGAUCUCAGUCUUUACCACUCACAAGUGAGUGUGUGGUUACAUGGACACACUUUCUACUGAGAGUGCAGAAUGAUUUUAAAGGAAAUGUUGUCUUGCUUUUUGUUCCCGGGGCAUGUGUGACAUAUAUGAUGUAUUAAACAUGUUUUCUCUGGAUACAG